GGAAGCUUUGAUUAUCGUCUUUGAUGGCGAAGGAGCAAAUCUUGAGGCCUUGGUUUCUGGAUCUCGUACCGGCUUUGGUUAUCUUGCUCGCCGCAGCUCAUGUCAUCGCCUUGGGUUACUGGAUUUACAGAUUGGCGACUGAUCGUCGUGCUCAGAGUCAGAGAGGAAAGUUUCACUGAGGAAACAGUCGAGAGUAGGUUUCGUAAGCUGCAUAGUUCCAUAAACUGGCGGGGUAUCCUUCAGUGGUGUUUCACAAAUAGUCUGCGGGUAAGGCCAAUAUAGAUGUUUCUCCAGUUGUGUUCAUCAAGACAGAGUUGUAGUCUAAUCUCUAUAGUUACUGACAUUUAAGGAUCCCGCUGCAAGAUGUAACCAUGAGUGGAAAACUGUCUUGGAAAACCAUUUUAUAUUUGCUGUGUAGUCAUCAUUUAAAUAACUACAUAUCAAAUCAUGACAGGUUUAGGAGAGCUAAUUAACUUCACACAAAAACCAAACCUUUUCCUUGGUGUGCUUAUAAAUUCAUGUUCAUUAAAUUUUCCUUUGUCCUGUUUAUUUCCUUUUGUAGAAUGUAGUUUUUUUAAUUUUAAAUGCGUCAUGCGUGAGGUUUAUGAUUCA